rnacentral:lncRNA from 1 species
CUUUGUGCUGAUACAGACAUGUAUUAGUGCAACAGCCAAAAACGAUGAGUCAUUUGACAGUGAACCAGAUGUGGAGAGGUAAUCUGCAUGUCUUUAUUAACAGAGCGCAUCCAGAUAACCAUACUCACUUUGUAUUUUCCUUUCAUGGUGUCGUCGCCAGCAGAGGCCUGGAAAUAUCCCGCAUCCAACCACCGAGGACGACUGUGUUCUGCGACAUCAAGAAUCUGGCACACGCGCAUGGUGCAAGCUCCAGGACAUCAAACAUGGAAGGAUGGGGUCCUCCUGAUAACUGAGUUCCCUGAAGUUUGUGUCUCUCGGACUGGUCCACACUGAGCCUCCAGUAAUGCAUCAGUGACAGACAGCUCCAGUUUCCUUUCCGGACACUGGUUCCCAU